AAGGCCGUACCAUGCUGAAUAUACCGGUUCUCGUUAGAUCACCGAAGUUAAGCAUCAUUGGGCGCGGUCAGUACUUGGGUGGGUGACCACCUGGGAACACUGCGUGCCGU
rnacentral:rRNA from 1 species